rnacentral:misc_RNA from 1 species
GGUUUUCACAUCAAUUUUUUCUACACACCAACAACCAAUUUUCCUUUCCUAGUGGGUUUCAGAUCAUUAUGGACCAGCAGAAUAACACAAGACAAGAAUCUAAGGGACCAAGAUUUGGAAAAAGACAAACCCAACAAAUUCCUCAACAAAGUAGGCAAAACCCAAACAAAAAUCAAGAAAUUCUUCAACAGCAAAGUCAAUAGCAUCCAACAAAUACCAGUAGAUCUCUUCGGCAAAGUGUUCAAAGUCGAGAAAGAAGUCUCUCAUGCCUUUUCUUCCUUCAAGUACACCACAUUAACAAUCCAAGUCUUACUAGCAC